rnacentral:rRNA from 1 species
CUUUCUUUGCUGGCGACCGGCGCACGGGUGAGUAGCACGUAUCCAACCUGCCCUUUACUCGGGGAUAGCCUUUCGAAAGAAAGAUUAAUACCCGAUAGUAUAAUGAUUCCGCAUGGUUUCAUUAUUAAAGGAUCCGGUAAAGGAUGGGGAUGCGUUCCAUUAGGUUGUUGGUGAGGUAACGGCUCACCAAGCCUUCGAUGGAUAGGGGUUCUGAGAGGAAGGUCCCCCACAUUGGAACUGAGACACGGUCCAA